rnacentral:rRNA from 1 species
CAGCAGCCGCGGUAAUACCAGCAGUUCAAGUUGCAUCCAUUUUUAUUGGGUCUAAAACAUCCGUAGCUUGUUAUCUAAGUCUCUUGUGAAAUCCUAUGUCUCAAGCAUGGGGCUUGCAGGGGAUACUGGGUAACUAGAGAUCGGUAGACGUAAGGAGUACGCCGGGGGUAACGGUCAAAUGUGUUAAUCCUCGGUGGACUAACAAUCAGCGAAGGCACCUUACGAGGACGAAUCUGACAGUCAGGGAUGAAGGCCAGGGGCGCAAAACGGAUUAGAUACCCGUGUAGUCCUGGCAGUAAACACUGCUCACUAAACAUCGGGCCCUCUUCGGGAGGAUUCGGUGCUGAAGCGAAGGCGAAGAGUGAGCUACCUGGGAAGUAUAGUCGCAAGAUCGAAACUUAAAGGAAUUGGCGGGGAGACAUACAACGAGUGACGCGUGCGGUUCAAUCAGAUUUUACACCGUGAACCUCACCAGGAGCGACAGCAGGAUGAAGGUCAGUCUGAAGGGCUUACCUGACACGCUGAGCGGAGAUACAAAGCCGACGUCAGCCUGUGCUGUGAAGUGACCUGUUAAAUCAGGUAACAGGCGAGACCCGUGUCGUUAAUUACUACAGAAAUGGGUACUUUAACGAGAUUGCCUUGGUAACAAGGAUGAAAGUGCGGGCUACGUUAGGUGGCUUGUCCCUAAUCCCCUGGGCUACACGCGCGCGGCAAUGGUAAGUUCAAAUGGAUGCAACUCCGAGAGGAGAAGCUAAUCCCCUAAAGCUUAUCUCAGUACAGAUUGAGGGUUGCAACCCACCCUCAUAACGAUGGAAUUCGUAGUAAUCGGAUAUUAGCACUGUCCGGUGAAUAAGUCCCUGCCCCUUGCACAC